GUGAAAGUGAUAGUGCAUCACUGCGUUUAUAUGUCUAUCGAUAUGCAAAGACAAAACAUAUGUUGUAAAAGCAUAUGGUGCGAAAAGUGAAGUGCAUUAAUUGCAAAAUUGCAACUGGAAAGUAUAGUUUCUAAUAAGAAUACUAAUAAAAGCAUUAAUAAUUGAAUAUUAAUUAAUUCAUUGUUUUUACAAAUUGCAGCAGCUUACUACCAAGUACUAGAGAGUAUGUGCACUACAAGGCAGAGAUGUGUGUGAAAGCAAGCUAACUGCAAGUAUAUCAUCCAGUGGUACAAGAAGAAGUAGCUGAGAAGACUCCGCGUCCCAAACAUCGAGUAGUGCCGCUAGUUUAGUUAAGUGCGUUUGUGUUGAUAUUAGUCAGUGCACUGUAGUAUUUGUUUACUGCAUGUAUGCCUAUACAUGCAAAAUAAAACUUUAAUUGAAUAUAAA